rnacentral:rRNA from 1 species
UGGGGAAUAUUGGACAAUGGGCGCAAGCCUGAUCCAGCCAUGCCGCGUGGGUGAAGAAGGCCUUCGGGUUGUAAAGCCCUUUUGUUGGGAAAGAAAAGCAGUCGGUUAAUACCCGAUUGUUCUGACGGUACCCAAAGAAUAAGCACCGGCUAACUUCGUGCCAGCAGCCGCGGUAAUACGAAGGGUGCAAGCGUUACUCGGAAUUACUGGGCGUAAAGCGUGCGUAGGUGGUUUGUUAAGUCUGAUGUGAAAGCCCUGGGCUCAACCUGGGAAUUGCAUUGGAUACUGGCAGGCUGGAGUGCGGUAGAGGGUAGUGGAAUUCCCGGUGUAGCAGUGAAAUGCGUAGAGAUCGGGAGGAACAUCCGUGGCGAAGGCGACUACCUGGACCAGCACUGACACUGAGGCACGAAAGCGUGGGGAGCAAACAGGAUUAGAUACCCUGGUAGUCCACGCCCUAAACGAUGCGAACUGGAUGUUGGGUUCAAUUAGGAACUCAGUAUCGAAGCUAACGCGUUAGUCGCGCUGCAGUACGUCGCAGACUGAAACUCAAAGGAAUUGACGGGGUCAUAGCUGUUUCC